rnacentral:piRNA from 1 species
UCCAGACUUAGGUUCCCUUCAAUUACACGA